AGCAACACUGUGCUUACCGUGUACUAAAAUUGGAAUGAUGCAGAGAAGAUUAGCAUGGCCCCUGCGCAAGGAUGACACACAAACUCGAUCUUAAUAGUAGGAGUUU